CAAUGUUUCCCGUAGGUGAACCUGCGGAAGGAUCAUUG
rnacentral:rRNA from 1 species